rnacentral:rRNA from 1 species
GAUGAACGCUGGCGGCGUGCCUAAUACAUGCAAGUCGAGCGAACAGGCGCGGAGUUUGUUCCUCUCACGUUUGCGGCGGACGGGUGUGUAACACGUGGAUAACCUACCUCUAAUACUGGGAUAACUUCGGGAAUCCGGCGCUAAUCCCGGAGAAUAUAUUUAACCGUAUGGUUCAAUAGUGAAAUACGGUUUUGCUGUCACUUAUCGAUGUAUCCGCGCCGCAUUAGCUAGUUGGUAAAGUAACGGUUUACCAAGGCAACGAUGCGUAGCCGGCCUGAGAGGGUGAUCGGGCACACUAGAACUGACGCCCGGACCGGACUCCUGAGGGAGGCAGCAGUCGGGAAUGAGGCGGAAUGGGGGAAAGUCUGACGGAGGGACGCCGCGUGAGUGAUGAAGGUCUUCGGGUCGUAAAACUCUGUUAGUAGGGAAGAACAAAUGUGUAAGGAACUAUGGACGUCGUGACGGUACCUGAUCAGAAAGCCCCGGCUAACUACGUG